rnacentral:rRNA from 1 species
UACGUAGGGGGCAAGCGUUGUCCGGAAUCAUUGGGCGUAAAGCGCGUGUAGGCGGUUCGGUAAGUCGGCUGUGAAAAUCCAGGGCUCAACCCUGGACCUGCAGUGGGUACGGGCAGACUAGAGUGCGGUAGGGGAGAUCGGAAUUCCUGGUGUAGCGGUGAAAUGCGCAGAUAUCAGGAGGAACACCGGUGGCGAAGGCGGAUCUCUGGGCCGUAACUGACGCUGAGGAGCGAAAGCAUGGGGAGCGAACAGG